AGAUUACAUAUACUCCAUCUCCACCAAUUGUUUAACUACUCGUUAAGGACUGUUUUGAAAAUUAAGUUCUGUUUUAUUAGUGUUUUUAUUUUCGUCUAGAAUUAUAAAUUUGACAGUCUUUCGGCACAUCCUUACUGUAAUCACUGACCUCGAUAUAUUUAGAUCGAUAUAUGUCACUUGGGGCUAUAUAUAUGUCUAGUUCAUGCUAUAUAUAACGCCUAGUUCAUAUAUGUCACUUGGGGCUAUCUGUUUCUAUUGUCAGGAAAAGUGGGUACUCAUAUAUUAAUAAAAAGGGUGGGAACAUUUAGAGGUCGGAAAAAUGUUUAGUGAUGUUUCUUCCGGCGCUUUAGGUUUCAAGUUCAAAUUCUACUGAGGUCUUCGCCUUUGGGAGGCGAUAAAGCAUUAUUGCUGACCUUGUGCCAAAAUUAGAAAGAGUUAUUUAUCAAUAUCAAUAUAUUUCCUAUUUUAAAGAAAUUUGAACAAUAGAUAUAACACCCAAGUCAAAAAGAUUCUCAACGAUUCAACUUCUCUGGUUGACAUUAAGACAUCCACCCCCAAUAGAAUUUUGGAAUCUGCGCAUGAAGAUCAGUAGUAUGGGAUGCAUGUGUCAUGAUUAGAAUUUUUUUAUGGUGUGUAAAUAGGGAGAGAACCCUCAUAUGCAAUUCUGAUAAAAUUCGAAUCAUAAGUAUUCCAGUUCAUUACAGAAAAUAUAACAGAAAAGUCUAAUUUUUCCAUUGCAUGUAACACGGGCAAGUAUAUAUCUCUGCUAGUAUAUAUACAUAUAUAUAUAUAUAAAGAUUGGAAGACAUGGAGGUAAUUGAAAAUGUAGACUACUCCGAGUGGGCGGCUGCUACUGUAUAUAUAUAAAAAAAAGAACAACGAAAUAAAAAUAUGUGUGGAUUUCUCAACUGGUCUUAAUGAUUGUUUAAAAAAUUACAAUUAUCCGCUUCCAAACCCAGAAAAAAUAUUUGCUAAGUACAAUGGUGGGAAAAUUUUUUCCAAGCCGGAUUUGUCAGAGGCCUAAGGAUUGGCAUGAUAACAAAAAAUGCCUGCUCCCACUAACAAAACAACACUACAAGCAUUUUUAGGGUUGGUAUGUUAUUACCAGUUGUACAUACCUAAAAUAUAUGAGCUAAGAGCUCUGUUGAACAAGUUGCUAAAGGACUUGAAAUGGGAUUGGACAAACGAAUGUCAGAAAGCAUUGGAGGAAUUAAAAAAGCAGUUGACAUCAGAGUUAUCUUUAACUCAUUUCGACCCAAACCUGAAAAUAAUUGUGGCAUCGAAUACUAGUGGAUAUGGUAUAGGAGCUGUGAUAUUUCAUAAAUUUAAUGAUGGUAAAAUCAAAGCUAUUGCACAUGCAUCGAGAGUUCUAUUACCAGCAGAAAUAAACUACAGCCAGAUUGCAGUAAAAAAUUCCAUAAAUUCUUACAUGGGAGGAAGUUUACACUGCAAGCAGAUCACCGACUAUUACUAUCUGUUUUUGGUUCGGAAAAGGGUAUCCCCACGCACUCAGCAAACUGCUUACAGCGCUGGGAGACUAGGGGCGUCUGGAGCAAGUUGAUACAUUUUCUCUAGAGAAAAUGCGAAACUACUUUUGGACGAUUUGAUGGUAUCAUUGUAGUGCUGUUAGUAUAAACUUCCCCCUCAUUUGAUUUCAUCGCCGUUGUGAGAAUUUGUCUGCUACCUGCAGACAACAUUGGAAUUUUCCACUUGUUGUUCAUUUAAUGCCUGAUUUUAUACAGUUGCAAAGUUUUGAUGGCAAUUGAUUCUGUGGAACAAUUUUGAGAUCAAAUACCCGUUUUGUCAUCAACCACCACCUGUUUUUAGUUUUCACAUAACAAAGAUUAAAUAGGAAGACUAGAAAUUCUGGCAAUUUAUUUGUUGCACACAAGAAAAUUUUUCAAUUAGAGGAAUCUGCUUCAUAUCUGGAUCUUGUAUUGUUGCUUCUGAAUUGUGGGUUUGUUUCUCAAGUCAUUUGACUGUGGCCAUGCUGGAGCACUGCUGUUUUAGUCAAACAAAUCGACCCCAGGACUUAUUCUUUGUAAGCCUAGUACUUAUUCUAUUGGUCUCUUUUUCCAAACUGCUAAGUUACAGGAACAUAAACACACCAACAUUGGUUGUCAAGCGAUGGUGGGGGGACAAACACAGAUAUACAAACACACACACACACACACACACACACACAUAUACAACGGGCUUCUUUCAGCUUCUGUCUACCAAAUCCACUCAAAACACUUGCCCAGUCAGUAUUACAUUGUUUUGAAACCAAUGCAUUUAGUUCUAUAUAAGAGCAUUUCCAAAGAUUGCAUAAUAAAUGCUUUUGUCUUAUUUACUUUGCACUUUUACCAGUAUGAUUAUCUAUAUUAGAUGAACUGAUUAAUUAAUUAUAUUAAUGAAAGAUGAAUAAAAGGUAUUUAGAAAUUUAUUAAAAAAUAUGAAGCAAAUAUAUUAUUACAUUUAAGGCUCCUAAAAGCCAGAGUGUUGGUGCUAAACCAACAGAGUAAAUAAGUCGUAAUAUUGUUGAAACAAUGAGGGUCCGAAUGCCUGCUGGUCGAGGAACCAUUAUGACUAUGACUAAGGACGCAAACAUGGCUGCCCACACUAAUCCUGAUAGGCGGGAAUCCAGUUCUGGAAUAGAAGACAUUAUAUAAUUAUAAAAAAAUAUUCCUUGAAGGAUAACAAAUGCAACCAUUUAUCAACAAUAUUUAAAUUCUGUUUGUUGAACAGAAAGUUCCUACCUCCCAAAUAAAUUCAGUUUGAUAGGCUUCACACUUUAAAUUUCCAUCUCUACGUCAUAUACCUUUGUUUUUAGAGUAUUAUCUGAGUUAAUUAGGCCACAAGGGUAUUACCCAAUUCUUUCAAACAACUCUUAUUCUUAAUUUUAUGUAACUUAUUUAAAAAACAUUUAAACAUAUAUGAUACAUAUUUACAUGUAGAUGAAUCAGUUUGAUUUAAACUAUUAUUAUUGCCAUUAUUUUUAUAUCCACUUUUUCCAUGCUGACACUCACAACCAUUAGUCAACCUGGUUUUUUGAUAGAUGACACUUGCCCAAAGUGCCAUGCAGUGAAAUAGGACUUGAAACUGCAUGAGUGCAAAGUGAACCUGUUAACCACACAGCCACACCUGCAUCUCUGGCAAUGACUGAAAAUUUAGCAUAUUUUUGAGAAGGAAGUUAAUGGAAUAACUUUACUAAGUUAAUGGAAUAAAAGUUAAGUUGUAACAGAAAUUAAAAUGUUUAAUGUGAACAUACCUUUUGUGGACUGUCCAAAAGGAUAGAAAAAGGCAACUAACAAAUUCAUGAGAACAGCCAGAUUAAAUGAAAUAUUUCCCCAUAGUAGCAUAUGACUACUAAACCAGAAAAGUAAGGAAUUAGCUGAAAUAUAUAUAUGUAUACAAAAACAGGUUAGAAAAUAUAAUUUAACAGAAAUGUGUAAAUACUUCAUAAUUAGCCUUACAAUUUAUUAAACCAGUUGGUUGAAUAAACCAUUAGGCAAAAUAAAUUUUAUAAUAAAUUUGAUUCUGCUUUCAGUAUUGAGUUUCCUCAAUAAAUUUUUUGUUCGUAUCAAGCAUUUCAAUACUCUAUGAAAUACAUAUCAACACUUAAUUCAGUAUCAGUGUGGUCUCAUAUCCAAGUCAUUUAUUUACCGAUAAGUAAUUUGGCAUGAAGUGGCAUCAUCUCAGCUGUCAAGUAAUGUACAAUUUCAUAUUAACUGGUGAUAUUAAGUAUUUUAACAUUAACUAAGUUAGUUGUAAGUUGAAUAAAGAAAACAGAAAUAUAUAGAUAAUAACAAAGACUAUACCACGAAGUUGUUUUUGCCACUUCAUUUCAGCAAACAUAUCUUCAUGUCGCUCAAAGAAAUCAGCUACUUUGCUCCCUUGAUCAUCUCGUUCUGCAGUAUAAUAGACUUUGUUCUUAGUUUCAUCUGUUAAAUAUUCACAUAUCUCAGGGAUCGGAAAAACUAUUCUUUCUAAUGUUCUGUCAUUUCGUACAAUCUAUAAUAAAAUAAAAACAAAAAUAAAACAUAUAAUUACAAUUACUUUGAACAUUAGAGACCAGGUUUCUAAAAUCUUAAAUGGUUUCCAAUCAUUGUAAUUGAGCAAAAAUUUUGCUGCAUCUUAUGUUCCAUCAAAGAAUGCUGUACAUAAAUUGUUAUUAAGUGUAGCUGUGGGAUAAGAAGCUUGCUUUCUAACCACAUAAUUCCAGGUUCAGUCCUAUUGUGUGGCACCUUGGGUAAAUGUCUUCUACUAUAGCUGCCGGCCAACCAGAGCCUUGUGAGUGGAUUUGGUAUGCAGAAACUGAAAGAAGCCUUUUAUAUAUAUAUAUAUAUAUUUGUGUGUGUGUGUGUGUGUGUGUGUCUCUAUGUAUGUGUGUCUUAAAAAUUAAGAAGACCCAAUUGCUUAUGUAAAUACACGUGUAUGAAAGAUAGUUGGUUAAGUUGCAAAGAAUAUUUUUUAUUCAGUAUUGUAGAGUAAAGCUUAAUGCUUAAUUUGUAGCUUUUGACUGAUUAAAAAGAUGUGCAUAUGCAUGUACACAUACAAACAUCAGUAAAGAAAUGUGUAUGUGGUUACUUAACCCAAGAGAAAUAGCAACCAAAUCUUCCUCAAACCAAAUCCUGUUUUAAAAAUGGAUAUAUUGGAUAAUGUAGUUGGGGCACAUUAUUCCUGAAAAUAUCAAAUGGGAUAGAUUUCCUUGAUUAGCGGUCUAUUUGAUGAAAAACCAAUGUAGCUAAACAACUUCAUCAUCAUCAUUUAACGUCCGUUUUCCAUGCUGGCAUGGGUUGGCAUGGUUUGAUGGGAGCUGGCUGAAGAGCUGCCCAGGUUCCAUGUCUGUUUGACAUGAUUUUUACAGCUGGAGGCCCUUCCAAAUGCUAAACACUUUACAGAGUGUACCAGGUGUUUUGACAUAGCACUGGCAUGGGUGAUUUUAUGUGACACUGGUACAGGAGCUUUUUAUGUGGCACCAGAACCCACAAUCCUGCAAGAUAAGGAAAGCUCAGCUGAAGAGGGAUGUAGGGGACAUGCCUGUAUGUGAGGACAACCACAAUUUUACUUUGCUUGACGUGUCUUCUCAAGCACAACAAACCAUCUGGAGUCUCAGUCCCUUGUCAUAAUCUUUCUCACCACUUCAUCCCACGUCUUCCUGGGUCUACCCUUCCACAUGUUCUCUCCACUAUUAGUGAUCGGCACCCCUUCAUGCAAUUGCCUUCAUUCAUAAUAUAAUUUACAAGCCUACUAACCUCAAUUUGUGCUGUAUGUUUAGCAUAAAAAUCUAGGGCUUGAUCUCCAUAGAUAUCUUUACCAGUUGGUUUCAGCAGACUUGCCAGUUCUUUGUUAUGUUGGGAAAGCUGAAAAAGUGAAAGUAUACUUAUUAUUUAAUAUCACAACACCAAAUCUCUACUGCAUCAUUAUAAUUUUAUCUGUUUUUUUUUUUCAUCAACCACACCACAUCAUUGACUGGGUACUAAAAUUUUCCUCUACCUUGUAUAAUCUAAGUUAUCAGAAGGGAACCAUCGUUAAGGAUGUCAUGUCAAAGGGACAGUAAGUUUUUAAUGGUAAGCUGUCUCCACAGCACUAAGUUUCGCAACUAAGGAGAACUUAUCCUAUUGUCCAUACUGACUGGGACUACAUUGCCAGAAGAGGUGGACAAACAGCAUAAGCAAGCCAACUUGGCAGCUGUAUACAAUCAACUCUCAUCUGAUUAAAUUAUAAAUAAGGUGGCAUGAUGAUGAUGAGAAUAGAGAGAGAGAGAGAGAGAGAGAACAUAAAUAUAAAAUAACCUGAUGUGCUAAAAUGAAUAUGUUGUGUCCGACAGCUUUUGGUGAAACUUGCCCAUCUCUAUGCUCUUCUUCAUCAUCAGCAUCACAAUCGAUAACAUCUUCUGAAUGAAAGGUUUCUUUUGCAACUUUUACCUAUGAAAAGCAGAACAAACAUCAUUUUAAUCAGUUUUUGUAUGAUUGAAGAAUUUUGUUUAUAGAAUUAUAGUGAACCUUACAACAUAGUAGUUCCUUUCUGUUUAAUACUGGUUUCUUUUGCUGAGAAUCAAGGUCAACAUAUUUGUAGAUUAGCAGUAAAAUCGAUUUAUUCAAACCCCAUAUGCAAUGAUUCUUUGGAGAUGACAGUUAAAAAAUAAUUCAUAAUAAGUGAUCAAAGAACAGUAGGAUUUCCAAACAAAAUAGGAAAACACCAAACUGGAUACAUUGAUCUAUUUUCAUUAUCUCUUUACAUUUGAUAUUUCAAUUAUUAGGUGUUCAGAAAUAUGCUCUGUCAUUAAGGAAAAUAUUUUCAGUAUGUUUCAACAUGUGUAUUUUUCUCUGCAACUUAAUAUGUAUUGAAUAGUUUUAUGCAUUGAAACAAUUGCUGAAUAAUUUCAAUAAGGUGAUUUACAGAUAAUCAAGAUCUUGUGACUUUUCUGUUCUCAUGCCUCAAAUUAAUUCCAUCCCCGUUAUAUGAGAUUUAAUCUCAAAGCCAGCAACUACUAAAUUGCUCAUCAGUUCUUUCUUAGUUCAGUGUUCUGCUGUGAAGUAGGUCUUCAUCCUUAAAUUUGUUCUGUCAGGUAAAUGUGGCCAGAAAUUUCAUUGUCUUGCUCUAUGUACAACAGUGUAAUAAUGGAAUACAAACUCAUUUCUUCAGCCAAGACGCUGGUAUUAAGCUGAUAUUUUCAUUGUUUGUGAUGCUGUAUAAUGUAGCUCAUAUUUUAAUCAAAGUUUCCUGAAUAAUGUAUAUUAACAUAUCUUGCUUGAUAGAAAGAAUAUUAAUGUCUGGGCUUGAACUCAUGGUCCAACUCUCAACCCCAUCAAUACAUAAAGUUUACUUAAAUAUUUAAUUAAAUUCUUUGUAAUAUAUAACAUUCUGAUUGUCUUGUUUUGAGGACAUUAAACAUUAAUAUGUUAAAGAAACAGUGCCUCUUCAAAUUUAGGACCUACGUACAAAAUAGUAGCACUAAAAUAAUGCUUACUAAAAUAUGUUUAAAGUUUUCUACUUGGCCUCAUAUAUUUUCUGAAAACAAAAAUGCUACUUGGCAAAGAAAGAAAUCAAUGACUGAAUACAGUGUACAGAGUCAGCAGUUGAGAUUUUUAUCCAGUACAAAGUCAUGCCUGAUCAAAUUGCAAAUCAGUUUUAAACCUAUUUCUCUUCUUAUUCAUUUGUAUCAUUGUAUAAUUACAACUGGAUAAUCAUCAUGGGUGUUUCCAUCAAACUUCUGCUAGAUACAGUACUGCAAGCUUGAUUAUAUGGGUAUAACAUUUUAAUCCAUAAAGAUAUUUAAGGAUUUCCUGUACACAUUAAAGCAUUCCUUAGUAAGUGAAAUAAGGAGACAUAUACAUGAGGAUAACUGAAAAAUAAACUAGUUGAAAUGUUGUACACAAACAAUAGGUUAUUGACAUCAACAUUUCUCAAACAUUUAGAAAUAAAAUCCAUAUCUGGAAAAAUUAAAAUGAAACGUGAUAUGCAUAAGAAUACUAUUUUAGAUAUAUUUUAAAACAUUUGCAGUAUGAAUUUCAUCAAGCAAAACAGUAAAUAAAAUGAUAAGAAAAUUGUAGCGAAGGAAUCUUAAGAUAUUAUCAGAAAAUAUUAAAGAAUGCCAUUGAUAAAUGAUGUAUUUAAAAUUCAUGUUAAAAUAUUUUACUGACCAAACAAACACAUAAUUAUCAUAACAAAAUGAAUUAAGCAAUUUUAUCAUAAUAUUGGUAAAAUAAAUAAACAAGAAAACAAAAAAAUAUACUAAUCAAACAUUUAACAACAAAAAUAUUAUUUCAGCAAAGUAUAAAAUCCAAAAGUGGCAGUAUACUUAGUUGGAUUGAUCCCCAAAUAUUACUUGUAUAUUUCACUAACUGUGGUGAGUUGAAAGGCAGAACUGAUUCUUGUAGAAUUUGAAACUACAACUGAGGUUGGACAAAACGCAAUAAACUACUUAGUGAUGCCUUUCUGUUAUAAAACAAAAGAGGGAGAAACACUGCUUACAAUGUCUGUAGAAUCCAGACUCAUGUGACUGAUGUUCUGUUUGAUUUUUAUAAGUUGAUGUCUGGAUGGAAAAUGUGUGAAAACAUUUGAGAAGAUUGUAGCUUUGGGGAGGAAUGACUUCACAGUGUUUAAUGCAGGAUUUGGAUAUUACAAAGAGAAUCAUGUUUCAGAACUUAAUAGGGGUUGUAUGCAACUUGAUAGUUCAGAGGAGCAGAGAUUAGAAACAGUAGACUUGUGGUCAGUUUUUGAUGUGUGUUGGUGAAUGAAAUUUUGCCGGUUAGUUGAAUGACAUUCCAAUGGAUGUAGUCUAGAAUGUUGGAUUGCAGCUACAGUACUAUACCAGAUAUUGAGCAGUCCUCCAAUGUGGUUUUUACUUGAGCUUUGCAGCGGGUCAGCAAUUGAUCACAUUAUUUUCUGUUUCUGAAGCCUAGUCUUUGGGAAGAUAUUUUGAAAUGUUAUAUAUAUGUGAAGUCACACUGUAGAGAGAUCAGAUUGUGAGUUUUAAUGAUUUUGAUUGCUAUGGUUGUUCAUGUACUGUGUGGCUGAAAAAGUGUUCUCUUGACAUUAAUAGCAAUUGUGUCUUGAUAAUGAUGAAGGAGCAUUGAUUGUAACGCUACCAUUGUUUAUAAGAUGCAAUGUCCUCCAUGCAUUUUGAAAAGUGAUAGAGCUUGAAGGCUGUGUGCUACACAAAAUCAUCCUUUGAUUUCCUGAUAGUUACCUUGCAGGAAUUUCAGUGAUGAAUAAAAGUCUUUUAGUUUUGUUGAUAAGUGAGUUCCCCAAAGGGAUGUAGGUAGAAUCUUUUGUCUGUACUGCUGCAGCACAAUUGUGAGCAGGCAAUUUGGGGGUCUGGAGUUGUGGCAUUUCAUUGAGGGAAAGAGGUCAUAUGGAGAGACAGAUUUAAAAGAACAGUUUCAAUCAUGCACUUAGUUCAAAGUCAAAGUAAGACAAGCACAUUUAGUCCCAAGAAUGGCCAGUAUAGAACUUGUGAAGCUCUGGCCAGUUAGCUGAUUUGAAAAAGUAGAGGUUUGUAGGACAGAGAUUGUUGGGUAACAGGGUGAUGUGAUAUGUUUUGCAUUGAUUAGGUAAAGUUUAGAUGAUCCAACAUUGUAGAGAAAAUUGUGGUUAGGUGAAAUCUACAUUUGGAAAGGAUUCUUGGAACUAGUAAUUUUACAGCUACAUUUAAAAAAGCAAAAUGCGAAAUUAAUAGACUAGAAAAUUCAUAUGAAUAUAUACUUAUAAAGAAACAGUCAGAAUAUCAAAUUAAUCAAUUUACAAAGAGAAUAUUAAUAAGUUAAUAAGAUGAAAACAGUACACAGAUCAUAUCAUCAUUAGGCCUGUAAAGUAAAACUUUUGCUUCACUUCAAGAUUAUAUAGUAUGUUUUCUUUUUCCAAAGAUAAAUAAAAAUACAAAUUUGAAAAACAUUGAAUAUUUUUGCCUUUAAAAUAACACUUUAUUAACUUUAAAGCUUAAAGAAUAAAAAAAGAAAGAAAUUAGCAUGGUUUUCUAUAUAUAUCAUCAUCAUCGUUUAAGCAAUGACAUGCAGACUUUCAGAAGGGUAACAGCUCAGUUUAAAGACAUCAAUCCUCACAGCAUUUAAAAAAAUUAUGUUGGCAAUUCACACACACACACAUUAAAAUAAGUUUUCAGUUUUAUGUAUACUGGUUUUUAUCUUGCUCAUCAUAAACAUUAUAGCACUUUUCUGUAUAUACAUUUCAUUCAAAUGUCUUCUUUUCCAUGCUUGCAUGGGUCAGACAAGAGUAUGUUUGGGCAGAGUUUUCUAUGGCUUGAUGUCCUUCCUGUUAUCAACCCCAUUUGUUUCCAAGUGAGGUAUUAAUCUCCCAGUCUAUCAAACAAUGAAUAGCAUGAAUAUGUCUAACCGGAAAACUAGAAACAACUGACACCAGAUGGACAAGCCUUUUGUUCACGAAGGUCAUUUAACAUGACAAGGCAUGUCAAGAAACUCAGAUGUGCUUUCAUAGUGGACUGCAAGCAAAUGACACUGCUAGCAAAGCCAUUGUUUACAAUCAAUGAACAAAUGUGUUCAGAUGAGAAAAUAUGAAUUCACACACAUACACACAUAUACACUAGGUUUCUUUCAGUUUCCAUUUACAAAACCCACUCACAAGACUUUGGUCAGUAUGGAGCUAUAGUAGAAGACACUAGCUCAUGAUGCCACAUUAGAAGACUGAACUCAAAACCAUGUAGUUAGGAAGCACUCUCUUUAACUACACAGCCAUGUGCACCUAUAUAAAUUAGAAAUUUAAAGAAAUAUACUGUGAGCUAUUUAAUAUGAGAGUCACAGCUCUCAUGUAGCAAUAAAAAAAAUGUUGAUCCUUAUCACAAAAUACAAAUGUAAAUAUUAGAGCCUUCUUUAUCUAUGACAAAAUCCAUACUGAAUAAUACAGAAACCAAUAUAAUUUAGUAAAUCAAAAUACCAUUCUCCUGCACUUAAAAUUUUUCCUGUACUUGAAAAUAUUCAUCACUUUUUCAUUGUCAACAAGGAUUCUUUUCCCAAUGUUAAGAAUUAUGACAUCUUGUUUUCUACUAGUCAGAUACAUUGUUUAGUUUAAAUGGAUUAAAUACAUUCUGAGGUAUUAGUCAAUGUCAGACAAGUUACAAUGUUUCUGUUAUUACCAGGAUGAUACAUAUGUAUUAUAAAUAUAUAUUCAAACAUUUUUGUCAUUAUUUUUCUUUGGUGAGGCAGCACCUAUUUGAUUAUGAAAAUAAUAAAUCUAAUCAAGCAGGCUAUUUAUUACAUGAAUUUCAGAGAUUGGCUUCUUUGUAGUUCAUGAAAAUUUUGAAAGCUGAAUUCUUAUUUAGUCCCAUCACUCUCAUGUAAUCAUAAUAAUUUGUAAAGUAGACACAUAACCAAACAUGAUUAAUAAAAGGUGACAGUAAGAGUAUUAUCCAGGGAAGAAGGGUCCAUUGUAGUUGUCAUCCCUGUGAAAGAGUUGCAUCAUUUUGUAAUAAAUAAUCUAAAUAUCUUUAUUCACUUUUAAUGAAAACCAUAUUGUUUUUAGAAUUAAUUUCAAAUGUAAAAGUCAUAUGUUGUUUAAUCAAUUAUUAACUAACUUAAAAACAUUCAUUAAUUUUAGUUUUUGCACAUUGGUGAAUCAAGUUGGACAACUUGCAUAUUUUUUGAUUGAGCAGUAAUGGAACCAAUAGCUGAGAAACAAAAGCUAAUAGAAUAUAUAUUCGAAGUAUAUAUUUAAAUUUUGAAUAAAGGGGCACUUUUGAAAUGAAAAAAAAAAAAAACCCAACAAAAAACCCAGACUGAUGCCCCUACCCCUGUGUGUGUGUGCCUGUAUAGAAGAAAAAACAAAAAAAAAAACAAAAAAAAAAUUCAUCCUGUGAGAAUAAUAAACUGCAUUCUUAGUACUUGGCUAGACAUACAAAUUAGCAACUCUACAUCAAUAUCUUUAGCACUUAAUACAUUACCCUCAGGACUGUUGUAUAACUGAACAUACUAAUUGAAGAUCAUGUAAACCAACACUAGUUAAACAAGGAAUAUAAAGCAUUGUACAAAAUUUGUGAAAUGAAACUUUCUUGUAGUCCUCCUUUCUAGGACUAAUAAAUUAAAGAAAUGAGCAUAUGAACUAAAGACAUACUCAACUAUAGAAUCUAAUCAAAGACUUUCUCUUCAUUCUAAAUUAGUCAAAUAUAUGUAAAAUACAUUUAUCCCUUCACAAAAUACCAAAUGAUAUAUUUUGAAUAAAUGUUCCUCUAAAUAACUCUGACAAAUCAUACCAAGAUCAGUUCUGUAUAGGUCACCUGACUGAUCAGCAAAGAUUACCUCACCAUCAUGCCUCAAACAUUACACAGAUACACUGUUUAUUCUCUCUCUCUCUCUGACCAUCCUUAAAUAUUUUCUACUGUAAACUGAUACCUAACUGAAACUUCUAAUAUCAGCCAGGGUCCACAUGGGAAUCAGUGUAAAGGCUGUACUCUCCUGAAUGUUAACUACUUUUUUACCUUCAUGCUAUUUUAUCAACACUUAUCCAAUCCUAAGUCUCUGCCUUUUCAAGGUACCAUCUCUUUUGACUACCAACUACUAAAAUGUUCUGUUUUAAUCAUACCAACUAAUGAUGUUCAAAGUUCUCAGCCACUUUCUCACAUGACACAGCAUCCAGGUCUCUUAGUUUCAAGCAACUAAUAUAACAAAACCAUUCUUUAAAGAUUCUUAUGUUACAUUUGAAUGGAUCCUACUCUUAAAAUAUUUAUAAUAGGGAGUAACUGUAGUCUUUUAUAAGCUUUGUAACAACUGAACAGAAAAUAUUAAGGUUCAGUAAUAUAUUUUGGUAAUAUUUUGAUUACUGAGCUGAAGACUUUCAUUUGUAGUCUUUAGUUUAACACUUCAGUAGGCCAAACUCUUAAAAGUUUUAUUACCAAUACAUGUUAGAGAGAUUUUCUAGCUUACAGUAAAAUGAAAAGAAAAGAAACAAUCAUAAACUGUUGUCACUCUUACAUUAUGUUACAUGAGAAAUAAAACUGAUUAAAUCUAAAUUAAAUCUUGAAUUCUUCAAAUAAUGUUUUGGAAAUUUAAUUAACAACUAACAAUGGUAUUUGUUCUAACUAAAAGUUUGAUCUCAUCUGAUAAGACUUUUCUUUCAAAGAGAACUCUUAGUAUUUUAAAAUUACAUUAUGGAAGAGUCAUUCUGACCAUUUAAAAACAUACAAAAACUAUUAUUUUAAAUUUCACAGUUGUUUGACAAAAAUUUUGACAUUUCAUAAAUGUAAAUCAAAAGUGAAUUUAACAGUUUUUUGUGUGAUAACAAAUGGUUAAAAUGACUCUUCUAUGAUGUACUUACUGCAGUUUCAACACAGACUCACUUGCUAGACAAGUACAACUCCAAAAUAUUAAGAUUUAAUGUAGCAGCUUAAUUCAUAAUAGACUAAUAUUAAAAGCAUAGCAUAUUUUUCUAAAACUUUCAAGACAGCAAGCAACUAGCCAACUCUAUGCUCAUUCCUGUAAGCAACAAUUAUUUACAAACUAAAUUUUGUUAAAAUGAGUUAAAAGAAAAGUUAUCCAAAUGAAUCGUGCUUAAAACUAUAUUCUAACAGCAUUCCUAUUUUAAGGCUUCUAUAAAACUUACUGGACAUAAACAGGAGGAGUAUUAAUCUUCUCUACAUCACUGCAUCAAAUCUUGCAAAAAAGACUUAUCCAAAUAUAAUAGGUAAAAUUAUUCUCCCAUAUAUAUAUAUCCAAUAAAUCUUCCAGAAGUCUUAGCAAACAUAAAAGAUGAUGUUUCAUAUCAGUAUAGAAACAAAUCCUUCAAAUUUGUAAUUUGUAAAUGAUCUUUAAAAAAUUAAAUCCAGAUAAAUCCAAAACUGGAUUUAAAAAAAGCAAAAAGAUAAAAAUGUUAGAUGACUGAUAAACUUCUAUAAAUACUUGAUCUGAUGCCACAAAAAAAUUCCUGUGAAUCUCUGUAGAAAUAUCAGAAUGGCUGUGUUAUCAGAUCUGCUAAAGAAUAUCUAAUACAAGACAUUAAGGAUAAUGUAGUUGUAAAGAAAUAAAAUUGACAAACUGAAAAAUAUAAUCUAUUGAAAUACAUAAAAAAGUUUAAAAGAAGGAAAACAACAAAAUUUCUAGUAUAAUUCAUAGAAAUGUCUAGAAAAUGUUGAAAACAACCAGCUGAAAAACAAAAUAUUUUGCUAAACCUUUUCUGAUUUCAAUAUAAAAGCAAACUAUCUAUUUAGCAAUGAACAUCAGAUCACUUGAAACUUGGCAGUAAAAGAGACACUGGCAGAAAAAAGAAACCAGGAAAAUAUGGUUCUUGACUUUAAGCAGAAGCAUGCAGUCUCUACAAGUAACUCAUUCAAAGAAAGUAAAAUGGAAAAGCUGGCAAACAAUAAAAUUUGAGGCAAGAAUCUUUUAGCAGUGGCACCUCAGGUUUGUGUGAGUUUUCAUCCAGGAUGUCCUGCCUAAACACCAUAACAAUAGCAGCAACCUGCAAGAAUGCAGUUUUGAGAAGCAUCAGCAAACAUCAAUUAGUGAGAAGAUGUAAAGGCAGACACAGGCAAACUGUGAAAACAAAUGGAUGAUACAAACUGAUACCAUAUGUAUGGCAGUGGGAUGAAAAAAAAAAAAAAAGGAUUAAGGACAAUCUUGAGAAAUCAUAAGAAGCAGAUUUGCUUUCAUUUUGUAUGGAUUACCAAGAAAAUAAUUUAUUGACAAAAAGUGGAAAAUAAAUUAAUGGGAAUGUAAAAUUUAACUGAAAAAGUACUUAUGACAAAAGUAGAGCAAGAAAGGAAAAUAAAGAUAAAUAUGAUAUGAAUAUUUACAUGUGAAAGAAAUAUAUUCAGUAUGGCAGCCAGUAGAUGUAAGCAAAGAGGUGGAAAUUUUCAAAAUAGUUAUGUGAAAAGGAAAAAAAAUUGGACAUAAAGAGAACUGAGAAGAAAGAAGAAUCAUGCAUGAAGGCCACAGAAAUACAACAACAAAGAGAAAUAAGCCUGGGUUAGCAACAUCAUAUUUCCUUAAUAACUUUUUCUGAGAUAGAAACAUCUGAAACUGAAUUAUAAGGAUUUGGACACUGACAGACCUUUAUGAUACUUUCAAAGUCCAGCAUUAAAUUUAGCUUAAUGCUGUUAUUAAACUUACCAGAUAGGAAACUUGUCUAUUAUGUAAAUAUGUAAUAUUCUACUGAAAAUCCAUAAUAUUUAAAUGAUUAUUAUUGAAGAAAAUAAGUGAGGCAGUCAGCAUUUCCAGCUUGGGAAGAACAAAGUACCACUAAGAAUCUAAUUUCAAUUCAGAUAAAGUAUUAGUAUUUGGAAGCUAAAAAGGUUAAAGUAUAUCUUGAUAAAUAUCAAUUUAUGGUUGUAAUGUUUGUGUUAAGGAACAAAUAAACAUUGAUUAAGAAAGUUUACAUAAAUAUUAUCAUAGUUUUAUCCUUGCCUUUUGAAAUCUUUAUGUUUUUUAUUUUUUUCAAAAUUGAUACUUUGAAUUGAUGCUGUCUCAAAUAAUUUACCUAUUUCAUCACUUUAUCAGGUGAAAUACAAAAAUGAGGACAAUUGUAAUUUCAGUCGCACACAUUUAUUACAACGCAAAAAAUUAAACAAGCACAAUGCUGUUACUGCUCCCACCACCAGCACCACCACCAAAAUCACUGCUGUCAUCUUUAUCAUCUCUAUCUGUGUCAAUAAUUCAUGAAAUAAUACUUAAAAAUCAUUUUAAAUUCAUAAGAAAAAAUCAUUUUUAAUGUUUUGAAGAAAAUGAUAUAAGUGUGUUGCCCUUAAAUCCAAUCAACUUCUCCACUGAACUAUUGAUAAUUUUAUUUAGUUGGUAUCUUAUUCAUUCUGAAAUUGUAUCUGUUAAUUCAAAAGUAAUGCUGAUAUCAAACUUAUUCAGACCUUCAUUAGAUAUAUGAAGAGAGAGCAAGUCCAUAGCUACAGAUAUCCACAAAAUUAGGAGAAAUAUAGAUAUUAUUCCAGAAUUAGUGAUAUAAGUUCAGCAUAUCUAAGGCAUACUUACAAG